GGUCCUGUAGUGUAGCGGUUAUCACAUAAGGCAAUGUCAGAACUCCUCCUUUCCCAUGACCCAGGUUCAAUUCCUGGCAGGACCU